rnacentral:rRNA from 1 species
AACGAACGCUGGCGGCGUGCUUAACACAUGCAAGUCGAGUGCGCGCCUGUAGCAAUACAGGUGGCGCACGGCGCACGGGUGCGUAACACGUGGGUAAUCUGCCCUCUGAUGGGGAAUAACCCGCCGAAAGGCGGGCUAAUACCGCAUAACAUUCCUUGGAUUUCGGUCCGGGGACUCAAAGGCGUAAGUCGUCGGAGGAGGAGCCCGCGCACGAUUAGCUAGUUGGUAGGGUAAUGGCCUACCAAGGCUUUGAUCGUUAGCUGGUCUGAGAGGAUGGCCAGCCACACUGGAACUGAGACACGGUCCAGACUCCUACGGGAGGCAGCAGUGGGGAAUCUUGCACAAUGGGCGAAAGCCUGAUGCAGCGACGCCGCGUGGGGGAUGAAGCAUUUCGGUGUGUAAACCCCUUUCGAUCCGGACGAAUGCCUCGCAAGAGGAGUGACGGUGCGGAUAUAAGAAGCCCCGGCUAACUACGUGC